rnacentral:misc_RNA from 1 species
AUUGUCUACUGACAUUCUUGAAUCGAAUUACAUUGGGUUCAAAGGAAUGAGAGCAGGAUUAUUGUUAAAUUUCAGUCAUUGCAGCAACAGAUUAUUCUUGGAGAUGGUUCGUGUUUGCAUCAAGACUGUGAAGAUGUCCUCUUGCCAGGUCAUUGAGAGGGAGGUACUAUAAAGUAAAAUGACCUUGGACUUCCACACCAACA